rnacentral:misc_RNA from 1 species
GUAGGUGAACCUGCGGAAGGAUCAUUCAUAAUAAGUGUUUUAUGGCACUUUUUAAAUCCAUAUCCACCUUGUGUGCAAUGUCGGUCGAUCUUCUUCAUGGAGAUCGACCAAACAUCAACCUUUAUCUUUUAACUCUUUGUCUGAAAAACUAUUAUGAAUACUUAAUUCAAAAUACAACUUUCAACAACGGAUCUCUUGGUUCUG